rnacentral:lncRNA from 1 species
CCCGCCUCGGCCUCCCAAAGUGCUGGGAUUACAGGCGUGAGCCACCACACCCGGCCUGUUUGUUUUUGCAGGGAGGGCAAUGGCCAGAAGGAGGGGGCAGCCAGAAAGCUCUCCCAUUCUUUCUGGGGUCACAUGCAGGUGAUGGGUGUCCGACCUUUGGGAAGAAAGGGGAGAGGGGAUCAGAUAUUCACAUACCUGUGUGGCUGCUCUCAGCUUGGGCGAGGAGGGGAUUAACGGCACCCAUGGGGGUUCCAAAGAUGUGGGUAGAAGGGAGGCUAAAGGUAGAGCCAGCCAGAGAAAACACCUAAGGGAGGGAGGUAGAAUCCCCUGGCGGUUAUUCUUGGAUCUAGAGCACAACUGUGUGUACCGGGGUGCAGGGGGCCGGGUGUGCUGGGGAGCAGAGGGGUCCAGAGCCCGGAGGGUGGUCUGAUGGCAACUCAGCCCAGUUGCUCCAAUUCCCAUGGAAGGCUGGGGUCCUCUGUCAGUCUGUCCCCAACCUGCCCAGGGAAGGAGGAGCCCAGGAGUCAGGUCUCACCUGAGUGGUGGAGAUAGAAGCAGAAGAGGAGGGGAGGGUGCUGGUGAACGGGGAGCGGCUGAGGCGGGGCAGGGCCGAGGUCCCUGGGGGCCCCAGGAGGCUGGAGGAGAGAGGGGUGCUGCAGACAGCCCGCAGCAUCCCGCCACUGUGGGAGAUGGGGUCCUUAUUACUGGUGUAGAUGCCUGCAGGCACAAGGACAGAGGGAAGCACGUGGUUACUCUCCACCCCAGACUCCUGCUCAGCCAGGUGGCUGACAGCCCCUCCCCAGCUCGAGUGCUCCCCGGGAUCUGGCUACAUGACCCAGUCUAACCCUCUUGCUGCAAAGAUGUCACUUCCUGCCUGGGUGACAUCUGCUUGCUGCGCCUGCUUGUUAAACUGCCCUGCCGAGGGCUACGGAAUUCCUAGCUUUUCUAAUCUCCCUCCCAAAACUUGGUAAAACCUUCUGACAAUCUGUCCCCAAUCCUUUCUACUCCACGCAUGCAGAGGGGGAUGUCCUGAAGGUGACUGUCUCCUCCGUGCUCUAUCUUUUGGAGCAGUAUCCAUCCCAUUUCCUUCUAAGUGCAUGUGUAAGCUCUGUUCCUCACUAGACUGGCUGGGCCCUGAAAUGCCCUCUGUCCCCAGGGGUCACUAACCUGCCCCUAGUAAGGGGGACUCCAGGCUCAAGCUGGGCAAGCUCCCAGAAGGCCCAAAGGUUCGGGAGGACAGACCUCCCAGGCCGGAGCUGACCAGGGAACCUCCAGAGAAGGGUGAGGCAGCAGUGGCGGUAAAGCCAGCCAGCUGGGCACUGGGCAAGGAUGGGGCAGCUGGGCCCCCAGUGCCCUCCUUGUUCCGGCUGCCCUUGGGACGGCCUGGCCCAUGGCGGCUCCUCUUGCUGGCUUUGUGCUUCUUCUCCUUCAGGCCUGUCUCAGGGGUCUCAUCAGCAGGCACAGGGGUGGCACUCAGUGCGGGCAUCCGUUUGUGGGUGCCUGCCGAGGCCCCAGACCCCGUGACGUGGGGAGACUUAUAGUCCCCAGGGGAGGGCGCCCGGGCCCGGCCUGAGCUGGAGGUGGUGGUGGAGAAGCGCAUGAUGGGCCCAAAGCCAGAGAAGACCACCUUCUGCUCAAAAAGGCUAUGGCUGGAAGACUUUUUCCCCUUUGAGUCCCUGCUGCUCUCAGAGGUCUCCUGCGUGCUGGCCUCGUGGUGGGAGGAAGAGGAAGCCGAGGAGGAGACCUGAAGGAGAGGAGAGAGGAAGGUUCAACACCAGGCAGGGAAGAUGGAAGCCAAGAGGGAGAUGAAAACAGUCCCAGAGUCUGAAGAGAUUUACUCAUUGGUCCAUUCAUUCACUGAAUACUUAGGGCGUCUAAGAAGGCUGGACCUAUGCUGGAAGUGGCGAGGCAGAGAAGAGGACCCACAGGAGAAUGGGCUUCUCUGGUGCCAUCCUGGAGCCCUCCAGCUACUACCCCAAACUUCGGCCCCCUGGCUUUCCACCCAUUCUCUGACCACCUCAUGCUCUUCCUAGACAACCUGAGAUUGCACACACUAAGCGUUUGCCAGGACAGCCUAUCCUUACUCUUCCUGGGAAAUUUCUCAUCCUUUAAAAUCCAGCUUGGAAGUCCCUCUUCCCUGAAGCCUCCCUAAAUACCUCAGGUGGAACAAGACAUUCUGUCCCCUUAUUUCCAGAGAACUGUGCACACAUGACCACAUGUCAACAGCUGCCACUCUGCACUGAAAUGUUCUGUCCUAUCUGAGGCACCAGAAACCAAAGAGCGCGGCAGGGUGGUGGUUGAAGGAGCGUGGGCUCUAAGUCGGGCAGAGCAAGGUAUGAGCCUGGUGGGCUCUGCCCUUCACCGCCAUGUUUUUGUUUUUUCUUAAUUUAUUUUUGAGAUGGAGUUUCACUCUUGUUGCACAGGCUGGAGUGCAAUGGUGCGAUCUCGGCUCACUGCAACCUUCAGUCACCUCCCAGGUUCAAGUGAUUCUCCUGCCUCAGCCUCCCAAGUAGCUGGGAUUACAGGCACCAGCCACCACACCCGGCUAAUUUUGUGUAUUUUUAAUAGAGGCAGGGUUUCACCAUGUUGGCCAGGCUGAUCUCAAACCCCUGACCUCAGGUGAUCCACCUGCCUCGGACUCCCAAAGUGCUGGGACUACAGGCAUGAGCCACCACGCCUGGCCUCACUGCCAUGUUAUACUGUGCAAAGUCUCAACGUCGAUGAGUGUCAGUAUCUUUACAGGGAGCACUAUGCAUAUGUGGUGAGUUGGAAGCAGCAUGAUGCCAGAUACAUGGUAUAGGGUCAAUAAAUGAUGAGACGUCCAGUGGCAGCAGCUGCAGAGACAGUGCUGUGGGCAGGUGAAGAGCACAAGCCUUCAAGCCAGACUGCAUUGGAAUCUCAGGUCUACCACUUUACUAGCUGUGUGCUUUUAGGCAAAUUACUUAACCUCCCUGUGCCCCAUCAUCUUCAUAUAUUAAAUGGGGUUUAUAAAUUUCCAACCUAAUUGGAUUAUUUUGAGUAUUAAAUGGACUAAUCUCCAUAUGCC